AUGAAAAAGAGGGUUGCUUUUCAUAACUCACUUUGGCUUAAUCUGACUCAUAAGACUACCAGAGACCAUGCCUGCUUCCAUUUUGAUGAGAUCUUUUCCUUUUUUAAAAUAAAGUUACUUAAUAUAUGGCAAAACUUUUCAGUUCCCAAUGCAUCAUAUUCAUGUCAUAGAGUCAGGUUUGGAGAAUCUGCAAAAUCACAUAGCUCGCUCAUAUAAUCCUUUCUGUGGAUUACUUGGAGUAGGCCAUUAGCUCUUCCUGACUUUUUUUUCCCCUCUUUUUUAAAGUCAUUUCAUAUUAGCACCUCUUCCUGAGUAAAGAAUCAAUAACCAAAAAUGAAAGUGAAAUGGAUUGAUUUGACCUUGUGUCAAUUUCUGAGUGAGAGUUUGCUAAGAAAGGUAAAAACCACUGACCACAAUAAAAUAUUUGGAUUGGGGUUACUUAUUUUAAGC
rnacentral:lncRNA from 1 species